UACGGAGGGUGCAAGCGUUAUCCGGAUUCACUGGGUUUAAAGGGUGCGUAGGAGGGCAGGUAAGUCAGCGGUGAAAUCUCUGGGCUUAACCCGGAAACUGCCAUUGAUACUAUCUGUCUUGAAUGCGGUGGGGGUGAGCGGAAUAUGUCAUGUAGCGGUGAAAUGCUUAGAUAUGACAUAGAACACCGAUUGCGAAGGCAGCUCGCUACACCUGCAUUGACUCUGAGGCACGAAAGCGUGGGGAUCAAACAGG
rnacentral:rRNA from 1 species